rnacentral:rRNA from 1 species
GAUGAACGCUAGCUACAGGCUUAACACAUGCAAGUCGAGGGGCAGCGGGAUUGAAGCUUGCUUCAAUUGCCGGCGACCGGCGCACGGGUGAGUAACGCGUAUCCAACCUUCCGCUUACUCGGGGAUAGCCUUUCGAAAGAAAGAUUAACACCCGAUGGUAUCUUAAGCACGCAUGAGAUUAAGAUUAAAGAUUUAUCGCUUGGAGACGGUCUUAUAUUCUAUCAGCUAGUUGGUGGGGUAACGGCCUACCAAGGCUACGACGGAUAGCCGGCCUGAAAGGGCGACCGGCCACAAGGGCACUGAGACACGGGCCCU